UGCAUAGGUGUAAAUAAAUAGACCAUUCUGUGCUUGCAGCCCUCAAACACUUGCGUCCUUCCCUAUUUACACAUUGUGCUGGGUGAGGUAAACCUUGGCCCAGGUCCCUUUCCCAAGGCAGACCCUGGCUUAGACACCAGGUCCAAGCCGGGAGAGCAGAAGCCCCAGCAGCUUCUUCCCCAGAUCACGCAGCACAUCUCCCUGAGCGCAGCCCUAAGAGGUAACUGCUGCCCUAAGUCACUGCUUUGCCAUCUUCUGCGGGCACUUAGACAUGGAUAGGCACCACAGCAGGUACUUUCUCAGGAGCCCAGGGCUGCUAAAGUGACUCCAGAAACAAGAGCGCUGCUCCAGCCUAGCAAAUACCUGGCACUCCAGGACUAUCCAGGUGAUUUGUUCCAUGUCUUGGCUUGCACCGUCAGCUGUGCCUCAGUCAAGCAGAGGUAGAGAUAUCAGCUUUUGUUAGUACCGAGUAGACGACUGCACCAUCCAGGAGAAAUCACCUGAUACACAGGAAAGGAAAUAUCAUGGAUUUGAGUCUGGGACUACAUGGGAGUUCCUCUUUAUCUCAACAACCAGGCCUCUAAAUCUUCCCUAGCAAAAGAAAAUUAUCGGCAACAUGGCUUUGUUAAUAACUAAAAUAUUUUAGCGUAUUGCAAGUGCGUGCAAAAGGUCCACGUGCUUUUAGCUACCAUCAGUCCAAAUUCAGAGUCCCAUUUGAAUGUGCUCUGCUGUAUGAAAGUAAUUGGAAAAAUAUGGCUAAAAAUGUGUCUGUACACAUGCACAUAAGAAAAGCAGCUUUCAUUAAACAUAGAAACAUAUGCCAGAUUUAAAUAGCAAGUUUCCUCUGAUUACUACAGCCAGCACUGGGUACAUGGAAUGGUACCUUGCUUGGCUUGAUCACGUGCAACACUGAUACUUCCAAGCAAGUCAAGAUAACUCCAAGAAGUCAAAAAAGAGGGGAUAGUUGGAAUUUUGGAGACUGACUGCCAAGUGUUGUGAAUCUUCACUGAUCAAGCAGAAACUAGCACCAAGUCCCUAGGAGACACCAUCAAGGCAGAAAACCAGGAGAGCUGUAAGAGUGAGACCUUGCUUGCUUGCAGCAGCUGUCAGCGCAAGACCUGAUGAAGAUACAAAUUCAUUUAUAUCUUCAUGGUGAAGAUAGAAACUGAUCGGUUUUGUAAUAAAUGUGAACCUACGCAGCUGUGCGAGGCUGCAAUAGGUUGGACGCCAGUGGCUGCUGCUGCCCCAGGUCUGUGGCUGUGCCGUGCCAGAUUCUGACCGCCUCCCCAGCUGCACCACCAUCACCACCUCAGAACAAGCUGAAGAAAGGGGCUUCUGGGAGACUUUCUAUUAGGAACACCAUAAAUAAAUAAGCAACAGCACCAAGACAUCACACAGGCAACAGCAGUCCUGUGAACACAGCCAAAGCCAGCCCGCAGCCUCAAGGACAUGAGCAUUACAGGAGUAGGCUGUUGCUUCCUAGCACCUAACAAAGCAGAACCUGGAGUCGACCGAGUUCCCGUGGUGGCUGACCAGUGCCAGGGUGAAGGCUCUGGUCCCUUUUCAACUUCAUGUACAAAUGAAGAAUCAAACCAGCCACUAUUACACACUUGCAAGUGCAACACUUGAGUUCAUGAAAACAGCACUCUUCUGCUCCUCUUCAAAGUUUCUCUCAUCAUACAUUCACAUCCCCUAGGGAGCAACUCAUUUUCUGUGUAAGGAUUUUAUUUUAUAACCAUAAUAUUAUUGUGUAAUGAGUAUAAUGAAAUGUCACCCAUUCUAUGGUAUUACAUUGGGAAAUAAAGGCUGGAGAUUCACACCACUGUCAUCACCCUUCAGAAAAAGUCAGCAGAGCCAGCACCGUGUCACUGGCAGCAGAGCCAUGGGAUACAAAUGAACUUGUACUUAGUUAAAACACUGAAAUUUUACUUGAUUGGCUGUUUCUAUGUACACAAACAAACAAAAAAAGAUUGAUUAUUGAUUACCUGAUUACAAAAUUGUACAUUCCUUGUUAAUACAAAAUCAAUAAUUAAAACAAUUUUUUUUGAAAGCAAUAAGUGAGUCCCACCUUCUCUGACCAUGAGGCAGACACACCAAGCCGUUAUCAGAAAGGAGCUGCAGGAGCCUGUCUGCCCAACAUCCAGCGUGUUGCUCAGGGAUGCACCUUGGUGGGUCCCAUGGUCUUGCACAGAGAACUGAUGGACCAUCAUUGGCUGAGCUCUAUUUGCUGGAUAGUGAAAGCAGGAUAAAUGUACUUGUAAUCUAAUUCCCAUCAACUAGAUAUUUCACCCCCAAAAUCAUCUGCACAAGUUGGGAGUGCUGGAAAAACGGCCCACACAGUAAUUCACUGCUAUUUCAGUGGCACUACUAGCAUCUGUGGUUUGCAGUGUUUUGGUAUAUUUUUUUUACCAAACUACAUUUUAUCAAAGUACAAGUGCACAAGUAUGAAGUACAGUCCUAUUGCUGAGUAGAUCUUUGCUGGCCUGGGCACAGAAACACUGCAUUCAUAGGAGAAAUUAAACAGAAAACCCUGCUUAAAGCCAACCCAUUUCUUGCAGAAUUUUAAAUAUCUCACAACACUACUCUGGCUCCUUUUUAUCAUACAAUUAGAAAGAAUAAGGGCUGCAAAGCAAGGGUUGCCUGUGAAUAGGUGGGGGGCUGGCGGCAGCAGCAGGAAAGGCAAUAUUGCCAGCUCUGCUCUGGCCAUUAACAACAGCAAUUUGCCCACAAACAAUCUGGAAAGAGUUUUCUCAGGUUACAGUACAGUUAAUAGAGUUGGAAAUUCCUCCUUUUUCAGAUUACCUCAGCCUUCUUUAUGCAACCUUUAAGUAUAUGGCAAAGUGCAAAGAAGGUUUUGAUAGCAUAUAACUGAUCUGCAGCGCGGGGGCCUGAUCCAGGAGUUCAUCACUGCUCCCCGUUGCUCCGGGUGCAAAAACACGAGACCUCCCUGUGCAGCUGCCUUUGUGAACUGGAAGGAAAAUUAAAACACUUGUAGGCUAGUUUCUGAUCUAACUGUUAUUUAAGGGGGUGGGAUGAAUUGACAUAAACAACGUAAUUUAACAAGAUACAACAUCACCACUUCAAUACCAGAUUUUGCUGACAGCCAGAGCAUUGCAGAACCUCAUGAGCACAGAGAAAGCUGUUGAGAGGAGAAACAAAUAACACAGAUAUGCCAAUAGAAAACAUGCAUUCUAGAUUAAUUAUAAUUAACUGUUGGUCUGAGCCAAAGUCCAUUAUGUGACACAGAUUAAUCAAAACAUCAGAAACCAGCUCAGUUAUUUUGCAUGUCAGGAAUCUCUUCCAUAGAUCUCUGAUUACAACAUUAUGGAUUCUUCAUAUUGUUCUUUCAAAUGUACCUUUCCACCUCCUCAGAUUUAAGAGCUGUUAUUACAGUGUCAAAGCACUUGAUAAUAAAAAACCUGUACACC